GACAGAGGGUGCAAACGUUGUUCGGAAUUACUGGGCGUAAAGCGUGCGUAGGUGGUUUGUUAAGUCAGACGUGAAAGCCCCGGGCUCAACCUGGGAAGUGCGCUUGAUACUGGCAAACUUGAGUGUCGGAGAGGUUGGUAGAAUUCUCGGUGUAGAGGUGAAAUUCGUAGAUAUCGAGAGGAAUACCGGCGGCGAAGGCGGCCAACUGGACGAACACUGACGCUGAGACACGAAAGCGUGGGGAGCAAACAGG
rnacentral:rRNA from 1 species